rnacentral:pre_miRNA from 1 species
AGUGGAAUAGCUGGGUCAUACAGUAGUUCCAUUCCUAGCUUUUAAAGGAAUCUCCAUACUGCUUUCCAGAGUGGUUGCACUAAUUUGCAGUCCCAACCAACAAU